rnacentral:rRNA from 1 species
UAGAGUUUGAUCCUGGCUCAGAGCGAACGCUGGCGGCAGGCUUAACACAUGCAAGUCGAGCGGGCGUAGCAAUACGUCAGCGGCAGACGGGUGAGUAACGCGUGGGAACAUACCUUUUGGUUCGGAACAACCCAGGGAAACUUGGGCUAAUACCGGAUAGGCCCUUACGGGGAAAGAUUUAUCGCCGAAAGAUUGGCCCGCGUCUGAUUAGCUAGUUGGUGAGGUAACGGCUCACCAAGGCGACGAUCAGUAGCUGGUCUGAGAGGAUGAUCAGCCACAUUGGGACUGAGACACGGCCCAAACUCCUACGGGAGGCAGCAGUGGGGAAUAUUGGACAAUGGGGGCAACCCUGAUCCAGCCAUGCCGCGUGAGUGAUGAAGGCCCUAGGGUUGUAAAGCUCUUUUGUGCGGGAAGAUAAUGACGGUACCGCAAGAAUAAGCCCCGGCUAACUUCGUGCCAGCAGCCGCGGUAAUACGAAGGGGGCUAGCGUUGCUCGGAAUCACUGGGCGUAAAGGGUGCGUAGGCGGGUCUUUAAGUCAGGGGUGAAAUCCUGGAGCUCAACUCCAGAACUGCCUUUGAUACUGAAGAUCUUGAGUCCGGGAGAGGUGAGUGGAACUGCGAGUGUAGAGGUGAAAUUCGUAGAUAUUCGCAAGAACACCGGUGGCGAAGGCGGCUCACUGGCCCGGUACUGACGCUGAGGCACGAAAGCGUGGGGAGCAACAGGAUUAGAUACCCUGGUAGUCCACGCCGUAACGAUGAAUGCCAGCCGUAGUGGGUUUACUCACUAGUGCGCAGCUAACGCUUUAAGCAUUCCGCCUGGGGAGU